GGAGAGGGAGCCUGAGAAACGGCUACCACAUCCAAGGAAGGCAGCAGGCGCGCAAAUUACCCACUCCCGGCACGGGGAGGUAGUGACGAAAAAUAACGAUACGGAACUCAUACGAGGCUCCGUAAUCGGAAUGAGUACACUUUAAAUCCUUUAACGAGGAUCUAUUGGAGGGCAAGUCUGGUGCCAGCAGCCGCGGUAAUUCCAGCUCCAAUAGCGUAUAUUAAAGUUGUUGCGGUUAAAAAGCUCGUAGUUGGAUCUCGGUUUCACUCAGGUGGUACACCUUGCGGUGUUCACUAUCUGGGUGGACGUUUCUGUUGGUUCGCUCUUGGUGCUCUUCAUCGGGUGCCAUUUGGUGGCCAGCACGUUUACUUUGAAAAAAUUGGAGUGCUCAAAGCAGGCGUUACAGCCUGAACAUUAGUGCAUGGAAUAAUGGAAUAGGAUCUCGAUUCUAUUUCGUUGGCUUUCGGAGUCGAGGUAAUGAUUAAUAGGGACAGACGGGGGCAUUCGUACUGCGACGUUAGAGGUGAAAUUCUUGGAUCGUCGCAAGACGAACUACUGCGAAAGCAUUUGCCAAGAAUGUUUUCAUUAAUCAAGAACGAAAGUUAGAGGUUCGAAGGCGAUCAGAUACCGCCCUAGUUCUAACCAUAAACGAUGCCAACCGGCGAUCCGUCGUCGUUAAUUGAAUGACUCGACGGGCAGCCUCCGGGAAACCAGAGUGUUUGGGUUCCGGGGGAAGUAUGGUUGCAAAGCUGAAACUUAAAGGAAUUGACGGAAGGGCACCACCAGGAGUGGAGCCUGCGGCUUAAUUUGACCCAACACGGGAAAUCUCACCAGGCCCGGACACCGGAAGGAUUGACAGAUUGAGAGCUCUUUCUUGAUUCGGUGGGUGGUGGUGCAUGGCCGUUCUUAGUUGGUUGAGCGAUUUGUCUGGUUAAUUCCGAUAACGAACGAGACUCUGGCCUACUAACUAAAAGGUCUAUCCUUUAUGGGUAGGCCUCUGCUUCUUAGAGGGACGGGCGGCGUUUAGCCGCACGAGAAUGAGCAAUAACAGGUCUGUGAUGCCCUUAGAUGUUCUGGGCUGCACGCGCGCUACACUGAAGGAAUCAGCAUGUUCUCCCAUCCCUGAAAAGGGCGGGUAACCCGUUGAAACUCCUUCGUGAUGGGGAUUGGAGAUUGUAAUUAUUCUCCAUGAACGAGGAAUUCCCAGUAGGCGCGAGUCAUCAGCUUGCGUCGAUUACGUCCCUGCCCUUUGUACACACCGCCCGUCGCUACUACCGAUCGAGUGAUUUAGUGAGGACUUCGGACUGGUCUUCAAGUUGGCUUCGGUCGGCUCGAAGUUCCGGAAAGAUGCCCAAACUUGAUCACUUAGAGGAAGUAAAAGUCGUAACAAGGUU
rnacentral:rRNA from 1 species